UUGACAGAUGACAGCACAAAACAGAAACGCAAACUUGCAGGCGAGCCAACUUUACCAGCUUGAACAAUUUUAGCUUCCUCUUUCGUUCGAAGUGUGUCAAGCAGUGAAGACGUAGUUUUCGUCGGUUUGCUGCCGUAUCCACAAUGAGAGCUAAGUGGCGUAAGAAGCGUAUGCGAAGGUUGAAGCGUAAGCGUAGGAAGAUGCGUGCGAGGUCCAAGUAAAUGAGCGGAAACCAAUCGCCAAUUCCUGCUAUUGAAGUAAGGUUUAAAUCGUUUCGUCCAUGUCGUUUCUUUAGUGAGCAGUGAUUAAUGUAUUAAAAGCUAGCGCGAGUGGGAUAGACGGUAGUUCUAACCCAAAAAGGCAUUUUCAUUACUUGGACGGGUUUUAUUGUGCGUGCUCAAAUAAAUUUGUUGCUGUUCAUUGUAGCGAGACAGUGAUGGAACGGUAAA